rnacentral:rRNA from 1 species
AUUGAACGCUGGCGGCGUGCCUAAUACAUGCAAGUCGAACGGAGUGGCGCACGGGUGAGUAAUGUAUAGCUAAUCUGCCCUACACUAGAGGACAACAGUUGGAAACGACUGCUAAUACUCUAUAGUGUAGGAUGAGGCUAUAUUGUAUCAGCUAGUUGGUGAGGUAAUGGCUCACCAAGGCUAUGACGCAUAACUGGUCAGAGAGGAUGAUCACUCACCCUGGAACGGAGACACCGUCCAGAAUCCGACGGGAGGCAGCAGUAGGCAAUAUUGCUCAAUGGGGGAAUCCCUGAAGCAGCAUCGCCGCGUGGAGUAUUAUACUCUUCGGAGCGUAAACUCCUUUUGUUAGGGAAGCGUUACCUAACGAAUAAGCACCGGCUAACUCCGUGCCAGCAGCCGCGGUAAUUC